GGACGCAUCACUGGUGUUCGGGUUGUCAUGCCAAUGGCACUGCCCGGUAGCUAAAUGCGGAAGAGAUAAGUGCUGAAAGCAUCUAAGCACGAAACUUGCCCCGAGAUGAGUUCUCCCUGACUCCUUGAGAGUCCUGAAGGAACGUUGAAGACGACGACGUUGAUAGGCCGGGUGUGUAAGCGCAGCGAUGCGUUGAGCUAACCGGUACUAAUGAACCGUGAGGCUUAACCUUACAACGCCGAAGGUGUUU
rnacentral:rRNA from 1 species